UACGUAGGGACCAAGCGUUGUUCGGAUUUACUGGGCGUAAAGGGCGCGUAGGCGGCAUGACAAGUCACUUGUGAAAUCUCCGGGCUUAACUCGGAACGGCCAAGUGAUACUGUCAAGCUAGAGUGCAGAAAGGGCAAUCGGAAUUCUUGGUGUAGCGGUGAAAUGCGCAGAUAUCGGGAGGAACACCAAUGGCGAAGGCAGCUCGCUGGGACGUUACUGACGCUGAGACGCGAAAGCGUGGGGAGCAAACAGG
rnacentral:rRNA from 1 species